UACGAAGGGGGCUAGCGUUGCUCGGAAUCACUGCGCGUAAAGGGUGCGUAGGCGGGUCUUUAAGUCAGGGGUGAAAUCCUGGAGCUCAACUCCAGAACUGCCUUUGAUACUGAAGAUCUUGAGUUCGGGAGAGGUGAGUGGAACUGCGAGUGUAGAGGUGAAAUUCGUAGAUAUUCGCAAGAACACCAGUGGCGAAGGCGGCUCACUGGCCCGAUACUGACGCUGAGGCACGAAAGCGUGGGGAGCAAACAGG
rnacentral:rRNA from 1 species